ACGCAGGCGGCCGUUGUUUGUGUGCGCGCGCGGUCAACGGCAGAGCAUCUCAUGAGAUCCGUCGACGUGAUCGCGUGCAGUUCGCGGUGAGUUGGGUCAGUUCGUUGGUGUUCGUUGAAAUCGUGUCUCGGCCGGAGAUGGUUGUGCGUGCAGCGUGUCGCGUUGUUUGUGAAUGUGAUUGAUGUGAGGGAAACCCGUACGAGCGAGCCACAGUGUGUGAGACCGUGCGUCGUCCAGCGUCCGUCGAGUGGCGGUAGGUUGUAGGUGUGUUUUUCGCACUAGAUUUACAUGCUCCGAUCUCGAACGGUGCACAGGUCGGGCGAUCCUCUCGAGAAAGGGAGGCUGCGAACAUAAUGAUAAUGGCAAUAAUCGUAGUAGGCAUUGAUUGAACGAGCGUUGCGUUAGACGGCUUGCGCGAGAGCAAUUUGGUGGUUGGUCCGUCUUCCAGUCCCAGAGUCUGAGCAGGGCCCCGUGUCGUGUCGUGUUGUGUUCGUUCCGUACGUGUGCCGUACGGGAGACAGCCAGAGUGUGUUGUGUGUGUGUGAGGCAUUGUGUGCGCCGUGUUCGUGUGAGUGUUGAGCUGCGCGUAAUUCUUGUCGAUCGCGCGCGCGGCUGGUAAGUGGAAAAGUGCGAAAGAGCUAAGAUAGUAGAAAGGAAGGGGAAAGGGUAGGAAGAGAGAAGGGCGGAAGGGGGAGUGUGGGAGGUGGGAGGGAGUGUGUAGCAACUUCGGAGUACAGCGGCGGAUUCGAAGAUCGCAGAAGCAGAGUUCAAAGCAUUAUCAGAACCCGUCAUCGUCAUCAUCAUCACCAUCAUCGUCAGUGCGAGUGAGCAGCAAUAGCGAAGAGUGAACACAGACAGAGAGAGAGAGAGAGAGAGUGCUCGUCAAGGAGUGAGCGAGAAGGGUUGAAGAAAAGGUUUUGGAAAGGGAAUAGUGUGUGUGAGAGUGCGUGUGUAUGGAAGAGGAAGAAGAGGAAAACGACGAGGUGGCACGAAAAGGGAAGUCGAAAACAGAGCACAACAGCACAACAGCGACAACAAAGCAGCGCACAUGCAAACGAGAAACAGACGAGAAACAGUAGGCUGUGCUGAAGUGUGUGUGUUGCGGCGAGUAGAAGAGUGAGCGAGAAGGCGAUAGUGUGGUGUUUUGGGUUGUGUGUUGAUAGCGCGUUGUUGAUGCGUAGAAGUGUUUUGGAAGAAGAGAAGAACCGAACAAGAGUCAGAAGAAGGGAACAGUGUAGGAAGAUAAGAAAGAGAAAGAAGGAAAGGUAGAGAGGAAGAGAAGCACGGAAGAACGACUCGAAACGUCAGAAGGCGCUAGAGAGUGAGUGAGUGUGCGUAACGGAACGAUCGUGAGUGAAAGAGAGAGCGAGAAGGUGUUUGACAGUACGGAACAGAUCAAACACAAUGUGAGAGAGAGAGAGAGAGAGAGAGCAACAACGAUCAGCAGGCCGACCGUGCGAUGCAGUGAGCAACGGAGAGCGAAUAAACGAGGUGGCGAUACUGUUGUUGAGCAGUGGUGUUGUUACGGUUGGGCAGUUGGUUAGCAGAAAGCUGGCCGGUUCCGUCGAAUGACUCGUGCCGAGAUGCUCGAUGCACGGACACGAGGCAGUAAUGUCUUCGGCACCGUCCGAAAUGCUGUAAUCCGAUCGGCGGAUGCUACUGUCGGAGAUGACUUCCAUCAGCGCAUCAUCGCUGUACCUAGGCCUACCGAUGGUACCGAUGUUGCUCGAGCAUGGCUCCACUGGCAAAUCUCAGUCUUUUCGGUGACUCCAGACUAGACGAGCGAGGCAGCGAACCGCGCGGCAACCCCAACGAGCGACUCUUGAGCGAACUGCGUACCCCGGGCAGAUUGGUGACGCUUUUCAGCAUACCGAGAUACUUGUUGAGCGCCCGCGAACCACGCCGCUCGGUCCGUUCCUUGGUGCGGCGGGCCCGCGCAUCCGGAUCCUCGCCCACCAACCAGAACGUCCGCUGGUCACCCUUGCCCUUCAUCGGCACCAGGCCCCGCUCCUGGAAGUGAUAGCCGCCGAGCGAGUCGAGGAUCUCUUUGGUCUGUAAGCUGCAGUGGAUCUUGAGCGGCUGUCCGGUCGAUUCCAUGCGCGAUGCCGUAUUGACCGUAUCGCCGAACAGGCAGUACCGGGGCAUCUUUAACCCCACGACACCGGCACAUACCGGUCCGGAAUGGAUACCGAUCCGUAGGAACAGUCGAUCGUUCGGUCGAUGCCGUAUCUUAAACUCGGCGACCGCUUCCAACAGCUGUAGCGACAUUGAAGCAAUCUCGGCCGCAUGUAUCAGUCCGUUCCGGAUCGGCAACCCGGACACGACCAUGUACGCAUCCCCGAUCGUUUCCACCUUGUACACAUCGUAAUGCCCUAUGAUCGAGUCGAAGCACGUGUACAGAUCGUUCAGAAAGUCGACCACCUGCAGCGGUGUGCUUUCCGCCGACAUCGACGUAAAGCCGACGAUGUCGCUAAAGUAAAUCGUCACCAGAUCGUAACUUUCCGCCUCCACCUUAUGGCCACGCUUCAGCUGCUCUGCCACCGGCCGUGGCAGCAUCUCCAGCAGCAGUGCUUCCGUUUUCUUCUUUUCCUCCUGCAGCUGAUCCGUACGCUCGUCAACGAGCUGCUCGAGAUUGUUGGCGUACUUUUCCAUCAUGGCCAUCAUGUUGUCGAAGAUGUUCGGUCGCAUACCCUUCCGCAGGACGCGCAGCUUGUUGCGUAUCGCCUUAAAGUCGGGCCGAUCUUCGGGCCGUUCGGCCCAACAUUCCUUCAAACAUUCGCGCACACAGUCGAACGAUGUUUCGAGCGGUUGGAUUGCGGGUCGGAACGGUGUGUUUGGAUCGAGCGGGUUCAGGACGCGCUUGAGACACUCCAUCGGUGUGCAUUCGAUUUCGCCGAAUGGACCGCGGCGGGUGAAGAUUUCGUACAGUACGAUGCCGAAGGAGUAGACGUCACCUUUCGGUGUGCCCGGCACGGUUGCGGUAGGGCCGGCACGCAAUAGCUCGGGCGCACGGUACAGCAGUUCUGGAAUAAAGAACGUGUAUUUUAAUGAACACCGUUGGCGAAUUGAGAAAUGUGAAUACUGUGUAUUCAAUAAUUUUUCAAUUAAAAAAAUAAUCAACAAUUUCUAUUUCAGACAAGGUUUCGUAUAGUGUAAAUUAUUGAGUUAAAAAACUCCUGGAAGUAUGCAAUUUAAUUUUUUAAAUUACAUAUGCUCGCUAGAUAGCGUUUUGCACCAUGUUGCAUACUUUCAGGCGUGUAAUAAGAUAAUAAAGGAAAGCUCUUCCAGUCUGUGAAAAGUUUCACAAAAAA